UUUUUUUUUUUUUUUUUUUUUUUUUUUUUUUUUUUUUUUUUUUUCUUCCGUCCAUCUCUAU
rnacentral:ribozyme from 13 species